GACCCGAAAGUGGUGAACUGCUUGAUCAGGUCGAGUCAGGGGAACCCUGAUGGAGGACGCGAAAUUCUGACGUGCAAAUCGAUUGUCAGAGUUGAGCAUAGGGGCGAAAGACCAAUCGAACCAUCUAGUAGCUGG
rnacentral:rRNA from 1 species